UACAGAGGGUGCGAGCGUUGUUCGGAAUUACUGGGCGUAAAGCGCGCGCAGGCGGCCACUUAAGUCCGUCGGUGAAAGACCGGGGCUCAACCCCGCGUCAGCCAUGGAUACUGGGCGGCUGGAGACAGGUAGAGGCAAGCGGAAUUCCGGGUGUAGCGGUGGAAUGCGUAGAUAUCCGGAAGAACACCGGAGGCGAAGGCGGCUUGCUGGACCUGGUCUGACGCUGAGGCGCGAAAGCGUGGGGAGCCAAAGGG
rnacentral:rRNA from 1 species